rnacentral:rRNA from 1 species
UACAUGUGGGGCAAGCGUUGUUCGGAAUUACUGGGCAUAAAGGGUGCGUAGGCGGCUUGUUAAGUCACUGGUGAAAGUUUUCGGCCUAACCGGAAAAUGGCCUGUGAUACUGGCUAUCUUGAGUUCGGGAGAGGUGAGUGGAAUGCCGAGUGUAGAGGUGAAAUUCGUAGAUAUUCGGCGGAACACCAGUGGCGAAGGCGACUCACUGGCCCGAUACUGACGCUGAGGCGCGAAAGCGUGGGGAGCAAACAGG